rnacentral:rRNA from 1 species
GUCGAACGCUGGCGGCGUGCUUAACACAUGCAAGUCGAACGGAAAGGCCCUGCUUUUGUGGGGUGCUCGAGUGGCGAACGGGUGAGUAACACGGGAGUAACCUGCCCUUGACUUUGGGAUAACUUCAGGAAACUGGGGCUAAUACCGGAUAGGAGCUCCUGCUGCAUGGUGGGGGUUGGAAAGUUUCGGCGGUUGGGGAUGGACUCGCGGCUUAUCAGCUUGUUGGUGGGGUAGUGGCUUACCAAGGCUUUGACGGGUAGCCGGCCUGAGAGGGUGACCGGCCACAUUGGGACUGAGAUACGGCCCAGACUCCUACGGGAGGCAGCAGUGGGGAAUAUUGCACAAUGGGCGGAAGCCUGAUGCAGCAACGCCGCGUGCGGGAUGACGGCCUUCGGGUUGUAAACCGCUUUCGCCUGUGACGAAGCGUGAGUGACGGUAAUGGGUAAAGAAGCACCGGCUAACUACGUG